rnacentral:miRNA from 1 species
AAGCAUCUCUCUCUCUCUCUCUCUCUCUCUCUCUCUCUCUCUCUCUCAAUGGCCCACAUGCUCCUUGGAAUGUGUAUUCUUUGCUUUCCUAAAUAAGUUGCUGUGCUUCAAUAUCUGACUUGUCUAUAAAUUCCUUUUUUUUAAGAGAGAGUGAGAGAGAGAGAGAGAGAGAGAGAGAGAGAGAGAGAGAGAGAGAGAAUUUUU